GAUGAACGCUGGCGGCGUGCCUAAUACAUGCGAGUCGAACGAAACUUCUUUAUCACCGAGUGCUUGCACUCACCGAUAAAGAGUUGAGUGGCGAACGGGUGAGUAACACGUGGGCAACCUGCCCAAAAGAGGGGGAUAACACUUGGAAACAGGUGCUAAUACCGCAUAACCAUAGUUACCGCAUGGUAACUAUGUAAAAGGUGGCUAUACUACCGCUUUUGGAUGGGCCCGCGGCGCAUUAGCUAGUUGGUAGGGUAAAGGCUUACCAAGGCAAUGAUGCGUAGCCGAAUUGAGAGGUUGAUCGGCCACAUUGGGACUGAGACACGGCCCAAACUCCUACGGGAGGCAGCAGUAGGGAAUCUUCCACAAUGGGCGAAAGCCUGAUGGAGCAACGCCGCGUGGGUGAAGAAGGUCUUCGGAUCGUGAAACCCUGUUGUUAGAGAAGAAAGUGCGUGAGAGUAACUGUUCACGUUUCGACGGUAUCUAACCAGAAAGCCACGGCUAACUACGUG
rnacentral:rRNA from 1 species